GCCCUCUUUUUUUUCUCUCGCUACUUCUUUCUCGCGUUUGGCCCUUUCUUCUCUCUCGAUCUCUUUCACAGGUGCUCGGUUGUGCGGUGUGGGAGCGAGAACCUUCAAUGUUUAUCUGCAUUGGAUCGUCUACGCCACCUUCUUUUCUCCCCCACCAUCCCUUCCUUAGCCCGCAAGCUAUGGGCGAGACUGUGUAGAACAUGCUACUAAGCCUGGGGAGAUGGCAUUGAUAAGGAAGCUUGAUGACAGUGAGUUCAGAAAUCCAUGGGCGAGGUCUUAUAUUCGUGUGAAAAUCUAUGAGGGGAGUCGAAGCCCAAGCAGAAGUUGAAGGAAAAACAGAAGUCCCAGAAAGAAUAGAUGUGAUUCAAUUGAAAAACCAAUCUCACGAUCAGCAUCUAUUUCUUCUAGAUCUCGAUCUGCCUCACAGUGAAAAUUUCAAGGUAUUUGCUUCAGAGUGGUUGCUCAUCAACCCUUUAAACAGAUGUCUAAAUUUACUCAAGGUCCAGAUCGAGAUCUGGUUAAAUGCUACAGGUGGGUAUGAUAUGGAGGAGAAGGCAGCAAAAACUUAUGAUUUGGCUGCAUUGAAGUACAGGGGAACAUCCACUCACAGUAAUUUCCCUACAUAAUCAACAUGGAAGAUGGCAAGCAAGAAGUGGAAGAGUUUCAGGAAACAAAGUCUUCUAUCUUGGAACAUUCAGUAAAAUAAGUACUGGUUGAUAGCUUUGAUUUCCUAAAAGAGGUUGGGCUUGGAUAAAUAUUGAAGUGCAUCUUGUGCUACUAUAUUAUUGGGGAAAUAAUUGUAUGACUGUGAAUUAUUUACCUACAAUAAUAUUCAUAUUUUUUGUUGUA